CAACCUCAACUCAUAUGGGACUACCCCCUGAAUUUAAGCAUAUUAAUUAGGGGAGGAAAAGAAACUAACCAGGAUUUUCUUAGUAGCGGCGAGCGAAAAGAAAUCAGUUCAGCACUAAGUCACUUUGUCUAUAUGGCAAAUGUGAGAUGCAGUGUAUGGAGCGUCAAUAUUCUAGUAUGAGAAAUUAACGAUUUAAGUCCUUCUUAAAUGAGGCCAUUUACCCAUAGAGGGUGCCAGGCCCGUAUAACGUUAAUGAUUACUAGAUGAUGUUUCCAAAGAGUCGUGUUGCUUGAUAGUGCAGCACUAAGUGGGUGGUAAACUCCAUCUAAAACUAAAUAUAACCAUGAGACCGAUAGUAAACAAGUACCGUGAGGGAAAGUUGAAAAGAACUCUGAAUAGAGAGUUAAACAGUACGUGAAACUGCUUAGAGGUUAAGCCCGAUGAACCUGAAUAUCCGUUAUGGAAAAUUCAUCAUUAAAAUUGUAAUAUUUAAACAAUAUUAUGAUAAUAGUGUGCAUUUUUUCCAUAUAAGGACAUUGUAAUCUAUUAGCAUACAAAAUUUAUCAUAAAAUAUAACUUAUAGUUUAUUCAAAUUAAUUUGCUUGCAUUUUAACACAGAAUAAAUGUUAUUAAUUUGAUAAAGUGCUGAUAGAUUUAUAUGAAUACAGUGCGUUAAUUUUUCGGAAUUAUAUAAUGGCAUAAUUAUCAUUGAUUUUUGUGUUUAUUAUAUGCACUUGUAUGAUUAACAAUGCGAAAGAUUCAGGAUACCUUCGGGACCCGUCUUGAAACACGGACCAAGGAGUCUAACAUAUGUGCAAGUUAUUGGGAUAUAAACCUAAUAGCGUAAUUAACUUGACUAAUAAUGGGAUUAGUUUUUUAACUAUUUAUAGCUAAUUAACACAAUCCCGGGGCGUUCUAUAUAGUUAUGUAUAAUGAUAUUUAUAUUAUUUAUGCCUCUAACUGGAACGUACCUUGAGCAUAUAUGCUGUGACCCGAAAGAUGGUGAACUAUACUUGAUCAGGUUGAAGUCAGGGGAAACCCUGAUGGAAGACCGAAACAGUUCUGACGUGCAAAUCGAUUGUCAGAAUUGAGUAUAGGGGCGAAAGACCAAUCGAACCAUCUAGUAGCUGGUUCCUUCCGAAGUUUCCCUCAGGAUAGCUGGUGCAUUUUAAUGUUAUAUAAAAUAAUCUUAUCUGGUAAAGCGAAUGAUUAGAGGCCUUAGGGUCGAAACGAUCUUAACCUAUUCUCAAACUUUAAAUGGGUAAGAACCUUAACUUUCUUGAUAUGAAGUUCAAGGUUAUGAUAUAAUGUGCCCAGUGGGCCACUUUUGGUAAGCAGAACUGGCGCUGUGGGAUGAACCAAACGUAAUGUUACGGUGCCCAAAUUAACAACUCAUGCAGAUACCAUGAAAGGCGUUGGUUGCUUAAAACAGCAGGACGGUGAUCAUGGAAGUCGAAAUCCGCUAAGGAGUGUGUAACAACUCACCUGCCGAAGCAACUAGCCCUUAAAAUGGAUGGCGCUUAAGUUGUAUACCUAUACAUUACCGCUAAAGUAGAUGAUUUAUAUUACUUGUGAUAUAAAUUUUUGAAACUUUAGUGAGUAGGAAGGUACAAUGGUAUGCGUAGAAGUGUUUGGCGUAAGCCUGCAUGGAGCUGCCAUUGGUACAGAUCUUGGUGGUAGUAGCAAAUAAUCGAAUGAGACCCUUGGAGGACUGAAGUGGAGAAGGGUUUCGUGUGAACAGUGGUUUGAUCACGAGUUAGUCGGUCCUAAGUUCAAGGCGAAAGCCGAAAAUUUUCAAGUAAAACACAAAUGCCAUACAAAUAUAAUUAUAUUAUAUAAAUCAAGCUAAUUAAUAUACUUGAAUAAUUUGAACGAAAGGGAAUACGGUUCCAAUUCCGUAACCUGUUGAGUAUCCGUUUGUUAUUAAAUAUGGGCCUCGUGCUCAUCCUGGCAACAGGAACGACCAUAAAGAAGCCGUCGAGAGAUAUCGGAAGAGUUUUCUUUUCUGUUUUAUAGCCGUACUACCAUGGAAGUCUUUCGCAGAGAGAUAUGGUAGAUGGGCUAGAAGAGCAUUGACAUAUACUGUUGUUGUCGAUAUUUUCUCCUCGGACCUUGAAAAUUUAUGGUGGGGACACGCAAACUUCUCAACAGGCCGUACCAAUAUCCGCAGCUGGUCUCCAAGGUGAAGAGUCUCUAGUCGAUAGAAUAAUGUAGGUAAGGGAAGUCGGCAAAUUAGAUCCGUAACUUCGGGAUAAGGAUUGGCUCUGAAGAUUGAGAUAGUCGGGCUUGAUUGGGAAACAAUAACAUGGUUUAUGUGCUCGUUCUGGGUAAAUAGAGUGUCUGGCAUUUAUGUUGGUCACUUGUUCCCCGGAUAGUUUAGUUACGUAGCCAAUUGUGGAACUUUCUUGCUAAAAUUUUUAAGAAUACUAAUUGGGUUAAACCAAUUAGUUCUUAUUAAUUAUAACGAUUAUCAAUUAACAAUCAAUUCAGAACUGGCACGGACUUGGGGAAUCCGACUGUCUAAUUAAAACAAAGCAUUGUGAUGGCCCUAGCGGGUGUUGACACAAUGUGAUUUCUGCCAGUGCUCUGAAUGUCAAAGUGAAGAAAUUCAAGUAAGCGCGGGUCAACGGCGGGAGUAACUAUGACUCUCUUAAGGUAGCCAAAUGCCUCGUCAUCUAAUUAGUGACGCGCAUGAAUGGAUUAACGAGAUUCCUACUGUCCCUAUCUACUAUCUAGCGAAACCACAGCCAAGGGAACGGGCUUGGAAUAAUUAGCGGGGAAAGAAGACCCUUUUGAGCUUGACUCUAAUCUGGCAGUGUAAGGAGACAUAAGAGGUGUAGAAUAAGUGGGAGAUAUUAGACUUCGGUUGGUAUCGCCAAUGAAAUACCACUACUCUUAUUGUUUCCUUACUUACUUGAUUAAAUGGAACGUGUAUCAUUUCCUAGCCAUUAUACGGAUAUAUUUAUUAUAUCUUAUGGUAUUGGGUUUUGAUGCAAGCUUCUUGAUCAAAGUAUCACGAGUUUGUUAUAUAAUCGCUAAACAAAUUCUUUAAUAAAACGGUGCAUUUAUGUAUUUUUGAUUUGGAAAAUUUGGUAUAACUCCAAUUACUCAGGUAUGAUCCAAUUCAAGGACAUUGCCACGGUAGGGAGUUUGACUGGGGCGGUACAUCUCUCAAAUAAUAACGGAGGUGUCCCAAGGCCAGCUCAGUGCGGACAGAAACCACACAUAGAGCAAAAGGGCAAAUGCUGACUUGAUCUCGGUGUUCAGUACACCACAGGGACAGCAAAAGCCUCGGCCUAUCGAUCCUUUUGGUUUAAAGAGUUUUUUAACAAGAGGUGUCAGAAAAGGUACCAUAGGGAUAACUGGCUUGUGGCGGCCAAGCGUUCAUAGCGACGUCGCUUUUUGAUCCUUCGAUGUCGGCUCUUCCUAUCAUUGUGAAGCAAAAUUCACCAAGCGUUGGAUUGUUCACCCAUGCAAGGGAACGUGAGCUGGGUUUAGACCGUCGUGAGACAGGUUAGUUUUACCCUACUAAUGACAAAACGUUGUUGCGACAGCAUUCCUGCGUAGUACGAGAGGAACCGCAGGUACGGACCAAUGGCACAAUACUUGUUCGAGCGAACAGGUGGUAUGACGCUACGUUCCGUUGGAUUAUGCCUGAACGCCUCUAAGGUCGUAUCCGUGCUGGGACUGCAAUGAUAAAUAAGGGGCCAAUUUGCAUUGUAUGGCUUCUAAACCAUUUAAAGUUUAUAAUUUUACUUUAUAAACGGACAAUGGAUGUGAUGCCAAUGUAAUUUGUAACAUAGUAAAUUGGGAGGAUCUUUGAUCACCUGAUGCCGCGCUAGUUACAUAUAAAAGCAUUAUUUAAUACAAUGACAAAGCCUAGAAUCAAUUGUAAACGACUUUUGUAACAGGCAAGGUGUUGUAAGUGGUUGAGCAGCUGCCAUACUGCGAUCCACUGAAGCUUAUCCUUUGCUUGAUGAUUCGA